rnacentral:rRNA from 1 species
UGGGGAAUAUUGCACAAUGGAGGGAACUCUGAUGCAGCGACGCCGCGUGAACGAAGAAGGCUUUCGAGUCGUAAAGUUCUUUUAUAUGGGAAGAUAAUGACGGUACCAUAAGAAAAAGCCCCGGCUAACUACGUGCCAGCAGCCGCGGUAAUACGUAGGGGGCUAGCGUUGUCCGGAAUCACUGGGCGUAAAGGGUUCGCAGGCGGAAAUGCAAGUCAGGUGUAAAAGGCAGUAGCUUAACUACUGUAAGCAUUUGAAACUGCAUAUCUUGAGAAGAGUAGAGGUAAGUGGAAUUUUUAGUGUAGCGGUGAAUUGCGUAGAUAUUAAAAAGAAUACCGGUGGCGAAGGCGGCUUACUGGGCUCAUUCUGACGCUGAGGAACGAAAGCGUGGGUAGCAAACAGG